UGGGGAAUAUUGCGCAAUGGGCGAAAGCCUGACGCAGCGACGCCGCGUGCGGGAAGGAGGCCCUCGGGCCGUAAACCGCUUUCAGCGGGGACGAUCGUGACUGUACCCGCAGAAGAAGCCCCGGCUAACUACGUGCCAGCAGCCGCGGUAAUACGUAGGUGGCAAGCGUUAUCCGGAUUUACUGGGUGUAAAGGGCGCGUAGGCGGGGAUGCAAGUCAGAUGUGAAAUCUAUGGGCUCAACCCAUAAACUGCAUUUGAAACUGUAUCUCUUGAGUGUCGGAGAGGUAGAUGGAAUUCCUAGUGUAGCGGUGAAAUGCGUAGAUAUUAGGAGGAACACCAGUGGCGAAGGCGAUCUACUGGACGAUAACUGACGC
rnacentral:rRNA from 1 species